UUCGUACGCGUGUCGCCGCAGCCCCGCGCGUUUGGCUAGUCAGUCAGUCAGUGAGCGAGACCGGGUACGUUCGUCCCAACGUUCGCUAAACGUUUCGUAGAAAACGCUCGACACUUAAAUCCGCGAGAUAGGUGGUUUCUACCUAUCCGACCCUCCGUCCAACACUGCCACUACCACCGCCACCGUUAUCUCACGUGUUACGCCGACAGCUUUCCUCCGACCGUUUGCCGACUCGACUAUCGCCGAGUACGUGUUACUAGACCACGAGGUGACAUGACGCGUCUAUCGGCCCCGUUACGGCCAUGGUGUCCUCUCCGCCGUGAUGUAUAGAUGAAGCAUGACUGUCCCUCGACCGGCGGAACCGGCACCGUUCAAGUUCCGCACUGCACCUGCAAUGGCAAAAUAUAUUGGAGUAGUCGGAAAGCAAUAUCAGUAAACGGUUUUGGUGAUGAGGGUGUGGUUGCUGUUAGCGUGGUAUGCGGUAACUGCGUUCGGACAACGGCCUACGCCCAACAAACGACACGACGUUUACAUCGCAGGAUUUUUCCCAUUUGGCGGCCGUGUGUCUGGAAGCAUACCGGAAGGAAGAGUCGGCAGGGGUGUCAUGCCAGCCGUAAAGUUGGCCGUGGAUCACAUAAACGAGAAUCCAACUUUGUUGCGAAACUAUCGACUGCAUGUUUGGUGGAACGACACUCAGUGCAAUGCUGCGGUGGGUUUGAAAGCAUUUUUCGACAUGAUGCACGAGGGUCCACACAAAGUAAUGUUGUUUGGAGCAGCUUGUACUCAGGUGACAGAUCCAAUUGCCAAAGCUUCCAAACAUUGGAGGAUAACACAGUUAUCUUAUGCAGACACUCAUCCAAUGUUUACAAAUACGGAUUUUCCAAAUUUUUUUCGAGUCGUUCCCAGCGAAAACGCUUUCAAUGCUCCACGGCUUGCAUUACUAAGGCAUUUCAACUGGACAAAGGUCGGUACCAUAUAUCAAAACGAACCUCGAUACGCUUUGGCUCACAACCAGUUGGUAGCUAUGCUAGAAAAAGACAACUUUGUUGUGCUGGAUACUCAAAAUAUUGCAGGUGACGUAUCACUGCCUAUUCAAAAGCUCCGCGAAAAAGACAUCCGAAUUAUUUUGGGUAAUUUUAACGAGACUUGGGCUAAGAAAAUUUUUUGUGAAGCAUACAGGGUAGGAAUGGUUGGUGGAAAAUAUCAGUGGCUAAUUAUGGGUACAUAUGGGCCUAAAUGGUGGAAUGAAAUAAAAUCUCCUUGUCCUGUGCCACAUCUACUCGCUGCUUUAGAUGGAUGCAUCUUGACAGACUAUUUGCCAUUAUCUACUACUGGCGAAAUAACUGUAUCAGGAAUCACAUCUAAAGAAUACCAACAAGAGUACGAUAUGAGACGAGGAUCUGAGUAUUCAAGAUUCCAUGGGUAUACGUAUGAUGGAGUGUGGACUGCUGCUCUGGCUAUACAGGAAGUAGCCCGAAAAGUACAUCAGUCGGCUCACGACAAGGGCACUCUGAACAGAACCAUAGCAGAUUUUCAGUAUAGAGAUCACGAAUGGGAAAACCUAUUCCUCGAAGCUUUACGAGAUACUAGUUUUGAAGGCGUAACGGGACCUGUAAGGUUUUAUAACAACGAAAGAAAAGCCAGUAUACUACUAAAACAGUUUCAAGUGAACAAAGAAGUCAAAAUUGGCGAAUACAAUGGAGUAACGGGCACGCUAGAUCUAAGUGUAGGUAAAGAAGUCAAAUGGAGAGCUGGUGGUAAAGGUCCCCCUAAAGACCAAACGCUUACCAUUUAUGAAGAUUCACAUGUUAACGUGGCGGUCUAUAUUGGGCUAGCAGUAGCUGCCAUCAUUGGUAUUGUUAUUGCUACGGCAUUUCUAAUCGUGAAUAUAAAAUAUAGAGACCAAAAAUACAUAAAAAUGUCAAGUCCACACUUAAAUAACUUGAUCAUAAUUGGAGCCAUGCUGACAUAUAGCAGUGUUAUUUUCUUAGGUCUCAACAGUAGAAUGACAAGCAUUAAUAUGUUUCCUUAUAUAUGUGCAGCUAGGGCAUGGCUAUUAAUGGCAGGGUUUUCUUUAGCAUUUGGAGCAAUGUUUUCAAAAACUUGGAGAGUACAUUCAAUUUUCACCGAUAUCACUAUAAAUAAAAAGAUUGUAAAAGAUACUCAGCUAUUUUUAAUGGUUGGAAUACUAUUGUGCAUUGACUUAGGAAUUAUGUUCACGUGGCAAUUUUCUGAUCCAUUUUACAGAGAAACUAAACAAAUGGAACCAUAUCCUCAUCCACAUAAUGACGACAUUGUGAUCAUACCGUGCAAUGAGUACUGUCAAAGUGAUCACAUGACAGUGUUCCUCGCCGUCAUUUAUGUGUAUAAGGGGGCGUUAAUGGUAUUCGGAGCUUUUUUGGCCUGGGAAACUCGACACGUGAGCAUACCUGCACUUAAUGAUUCCAAGUACGUAGGUAUGAGUGUCUACAAUGUUGUUCUUAUGUGUGUUGCUGGUGCUGCCAUAUCGUUUGUUCUAAGUGACCAACAAGAUGCGUCAUUCAUUAUCAUAUCGGUUUUCAUACUAUUUUGUUCUACUGCUACCCUCUUUUUAGUGUUUAUUCCUAAAAUCGUAGAGUUGAAGAGAAAUCCUCAAGGUGUAGAUAAACGAAUCCGAGCAACGUUAAGGCCUAUGUCAAAAACGUAUAAGGAUAUUUGUGAUUCAGAGGAACAAAUCCGAGCUCAGCGAAAUAAAAAUCAGCAAUACAGACAACAGUUGUUGGAUGUCGAUCGAGAGAUUGAUGCAAUGGUACUGAAGAUCGACACAUAUCGUGCUCUUAAGCUAUCUGAACAAAAACGAAAAGCUUUAGAAGAAAAGCAAAUCAAAGUAGAAGCCAUUCAAGAAGAAUCAAAUAGCAAUAUCGAUUUAUUAAUCGAAGAAGUACCUCCAGAGAAAACAUCGUUUCAAAGACAUACAAGAAUACCGUCAAUAUCUGUCGAACAGCCUUUGUCAUAUUGUGUAGAAUCUUCAAGACCUAUAACAUAUACACCAUCACCUACUCGGACGUGUCAAAGGCGGUCAAGUUCUUCAAUGGCGCCAGUUAUAGGAUGUAACCAUAGAAGGCCGUCAAUUCCACAAGCCAAAAAGACCUGUCAGCAGCCUACAUUUGUACACCAAGACGAGCUCUGGUUAACUCAGACACAACGUCACGCCAACCGGUCGCCACCGCCAAUCACGAGAGGUUUGCUCAACAAUGUCGAUUCACCGACUGAUGACGAAGAAGACAGUUCAUCUUCGCCAACUGCUAGUACAAUGCACCGAUCGGUGUCCGAGAAGAGUUCGUCCAGAAGUCGGGGCCCGGGACUAAGGCGUCCUUCAGCCCCUCACAUGCACAGUACACCCAAUGUCUACGGUCGAUGGCGAGAGUCCGGUUCUGGCGGCGAAUCGCCUACGGACGCACCAUCUGUAGGUGGUUGUCACUCCAGAUUACCUCCUUCAGCCGCCUCUGGCAUGUCUCGCGUAAAUACACUGUCCGAAGGUGAACUACUUGAUGUUGCCAUAUUACCUAUUUUCCAAAAAUUACUAACUGAAAGGCGAGCACAUAAGUCAACAUUACACCACCAUCAUCAUCAUCGAGCAUCGAUUGCCUCUUGCCCAAACAUUGCGGUCAAAUGUGAUAUUGUUGAAUAUUUAUAAGAAUUUGGACCCAUAAUAAGUUAGUUAGCAAGAAGAGCAAUACUACGAAUAUUUUAAAAGAGUAACCUGCCUAUGAUGUUGGGACCAAAAGACGAGAAGAUAUUCAAAUACAUUAAGUUGGCCGUAUACGAGCCUGUAAAAAUAAUUUUUUUACCAAACUACUACUUAGUACUGUAAUAUUACUAUUAUUAUUGUCAUUAUUGUUGUUUUAACAUUUUAAGAAGUAUAAUGUGUUACUAUUUUUUUAAUGUUAUUAAUUAAAUUGCAAGAUCUACGAUUUGUAAAUUAAACAUACAUACAUAAAUACUUAUCAAAGACAAAAAUGUUAAUAAUUACAUUUAAUUUAAAAUUAUAUAAUUCUGAUAGUUAUAUGAUUAUUUGUUAAUAUUUCAAUUGGUUAAAUGACUUUUGAAUUUAUUUAAAAAUAAAAUAGUUCAAUUUAUUUAACAUCAAGUUUUGGGAGCAUAACUUUGUUUCAUCUCUAAUCUAUAUAAAAAAUUGUUCCAGCCAUUAUCUUUUUUACAUAUGUUUAAAAUCAACCUUAUCUAUAAAAUUAUGCAAAAUAGCUCUAUGAUUAUCAAAUUUUUUAUUUAUUAUAUAGAAUGUAAUUUUGGACAGCAUAACUUUAUUAAUCUCUGGUAAAAUUAAAAAUUUAAUAAUGGGUCACAUUGAAACUUUUUUUUUACAAAUACUUAAAAUACUAUUUUGUAAGUUUUCGCAAUUACGCAUUACCACAAAUGUGGUGAAUAAUUUUCAAAUUUAUAUAAAGAUUCAAGCAGUAAAAAAUAAAUUAAUAAAAUAUUGGAGAAAUGCUUUAAAAUUUAAACUAAGGCAAUUAGAUAUUAAAUUUUAUAUCAUAUAUAUUUCAUACAUUUUGGUAGAGCCAAAGACUCAAUUUGAAAAGUAACUCAUAAUAAUAUAAAACUAUUGAAAUCAUUUAUAAUUGGUAAAUAAGUUAAUAUAAAAUUAAAUUGUAAAAAUUAAAUUUUAUAUUUUCUAUGUAUUUAAAUAUUUGUUAUUUAUUCAAUACCGUCUCUUUACUUGUUUAUAAAUAAUUUAAUUUGAGUCUUAAUAAAUCGAUUUAGAAAUUUUUACAAAUGAAAUUUCGAUUAAUGUAUGAUAAAUUAUUAGUUUUUCAUGUGACUUAUGCCUACUUGUGCUUAACACAAUUUUUUUUAUUUUAAUAGAAUUUUGAACUUUUUAAUAAAAUUGUUUCAAUUUGAACCUCGUAAAAUAACACGUAAUAAGAUUGUAAUAACAUAAUUUUUAUGCUACUUGAGUUAUUUAGUUAAUUUUAAUAAUUUGUAAUUUUUUUUUCAAUUAAAAGCAAUUUAAAUAAAUGCUCUCCUUAUUUUCGCUAUUUACCUACAGCUGGCGAAAUUGGUGAUAUUAUUUAUAAUAUAUCCUAAGUACUUAAUAUAUAAAUGAAUGUAAAAUUUGUACAUAUUGUAAUAUUGUUGUUAAGUAAUUUGUUACGAACAUAUAAUACUUUGGUGGACAGUGUCCAAAAAGAAAUAAGCAAUCUUAGGACAAUCCUCCGGAAUUCGAUUUAUUACUUGCCUUACUUGUACUGUUUUUCUGAUCCUUGUCAAUUUAGAUUAUUAAAAUAUUAUUGUUUUACAA